CCCCCCCCCCCAAUCCUCCCUUGCUGCGCCCUAGUCUGCAAAAAAAAAGCGCACAAGUUUGCAAAACCAACCGCGAGGGGACGGAGGCCGCAAUGCAUCUGCGCGAACAAAAGACGCAUCGCGACUUACCAGCAAAACCAGUACGAGUGGUGCAUGGAGGUACCAGUUAUUCACCAAGGUCGCGGAGAUCCAGAGCCUAUCCCGGAAGUUAUGGAUGUAAGGCAGAGAAAAACCCAGGAUGGGGCGCCAACCUAUUACAGGGCACACAUUCACACUCAUGGACAAUUUGGUAACUACAAAGUAACUGAAGAAUAAUUGUGUUACAUAAUGAUUUGAACAUACAUUUCGAUAAUAACAGCGGGGAUCACUCUAAAACCGGAAAUGGGAUUUACAUCAUGGGCCAAUGAUACCACAACUUCCUGCAAAGUGCAAAACAGCUUCAGUUGUUCUGGUUUGCAUGGACUGAAAUUAAUGUUGCGAUUCCUUUCAUAACCAUAACUAACCUUCAAACACGGCUUUUGACGUGACUAAAGUGCUGGACAAUAUAAGUAGUAGCUUGCCGCAGACUUUGUACUUUUUAACUAGCACUUAAGUUUUAACAUUUUAUAUAAAUGCCUUUACCUGAUAAGGGCAGGCAGACAAUCGCCCAAUUUACAGAGACAUUAUGUGACAAGAAAAUUAUUUUAUCCUAGCAUAUUAAUACAAUAUUAUACAGUCAAAUAGUAUGUAUCGCUAACAAAGACUGAUUGACAUACACACCUGUUACUAUGGGUAUGGAAGACAAACAGCAAUGCAUUUUUGAGAACAAUACUGAGGGAUGUGACAUUGCAGGUUGGAUGACGGCAAAGCAAAUUUACCUCUGUUCUAAAUAAAGGAGGAGGGACCUUUGCGAUUGUAUUGAGAGGCUAUAUUCCAGAAAAGGAAAAACACCUGUAUUUCAGUCAGUGUGGCACUAUUGCGCAAAACAAUAGUGAGUGUCUGCCACCUAGUGGCACACUUGUAUAAUUACACCCUGAAUAUAUCGUACCUCGAAGCAUUAAGAUGGUGCUACGCCGUAUUACUCUCGAGCUCCAUUCAAUGCCAGUAGGUUGUAGCAGAAGGCAGAGUGGAAGCUUACGCUGUAAACCUUACUUUGAGAAACACACGCAAGUUCACCUGUAAGUCAUCUGUAUCUCAGUUGAUACAUUUACCUGUUUGUAGUGUGCAGACAUAUUUCACACACACUGGUAUGGGAUAUAACACUAGUUGUCCCUACAUGAUCACCUUCUACAUCUGUUCUCCAUUUUUUCUUGAUCACGGGCAGGAAAAUAAUCCACAAAUAGCAUCCAGAAGGGGCAUUAAACAAAAUAUAAUUUAAAAGAGGGCCAGAGUGGACAUAUGACAUCAUUGUAAAUUUCUAAGAAAGUAAUACUUGACUAAUAAACUCAUCCAGUCGCUAUACUGCUCAUUUGAAAAAGCAAUUCCUCAUUCCACCAGCUGACCACAUUGAAUUAUUAACUACAUUCAGCUUAUUGGACACAGGCAGAUCUGAUUGCAGGCAGCCCUCUUGGAUCCAGACCUCACCAUAUAUUGACCCAAGAGUGUUACAGGGCGUGUGCAAGCUCGCAUACUUACUCAGCACGUACUGAAUUUUGUUAGACACCUACUACUCAACCAUCAAUACAGUAUGUACUAUAUGUACGCAUGAGAACAGAAUGGAUAUAUUUAGACAGACUGCAGUUGCCAUCUCAUACAUCACCUGGCCCAGACUUUUACCAAAGACGUAGCUUGUCCCCCAGGAGAGUUUAAAAUGGUCAAAAACUAUGGAAAAAUUACAUAUUCAAAUCAACUUAUGUAACAGGGUAUUGUUUUCUACUUAAAUACUGCAUGUACAGAGAUGAUACUUUACCAUCUUGACAAAAAUUUCUAAUCUAGUGACACUUAUCACUGCUCCUGCGGCCCUGUGGGGCAGCGUAGCAUCUAUUGGUUGCACAGAAUGUAAUAUAUCAUCCAGGUACCGUCCGGCUAUUGUCUCCUCCAUACUGAGGACCAGGCAGAAUGUAGUACGCCGCCCGGGUACCGUCCGCCUACCGGCUCAUCCAUACUGAGUAUUUGGACAUUCUGCUCACUUUACAUACUAUAUUUCACCCACUAUGUAGUAAACAAGUAUGCAAUUUCAGAUGUACCCACAGUCACCGCAAGGUUUCUGUAAGAACGCUAUGCCAAAAUCUAGGAAAAUUCCAAAAGAGAUGAGGGGGAAAAUUCCUGCAGCUUCCCAGUCAGAAAAAGGGCCAUUUUAAGGUGCCACAGUGCGAGGUAUAAUUCCCAAGCAGAGAACAACUGAAACAGUGGUGAAUCUUCCCAGGAAAGGCUGCCCUGCCAAAAUGUGUACAGUAACAACUCAAUCAAGAAGUCCUGAAAGAUCUCAGCAGAAUAUUUAAAGAACUGCAGGCUCCUCUGGCCUUAGCUAAGGUCAGUGUUUAUGACUUCACAAUCUGAGAGAGACUCAGAAAAAUGGGAUUCGUGGGAGGGCAGUAAGUUGGGAUUCAUCAGCGGCCUGGUGAAAAAAGCCCACCACAGGCUGCUUCUCAUAGGCACGCUGAAACGAGCCAAAUCACUCCUGCUGCACCACGGAGGGCGUCCGGUCCCUCUGCGCAACUGUGUGGCAUGCCAGCCAUCCGGCUGGGAAACGGCGUGAUUUAUGGUGAGCGGAUAAAGCGGCACAGUGGGUCAUAGGGACUGAUCCCAAAACAUCCCAGAAGCAACUACUUCUGCAAAGGAGAGUGGGCGAAAAUCCUUCAACAGCAGUGAUAGGCUGGACAGUCAAUUAUGGAAACUAUGAGGGGGGUAUUCCUUUUACGCUGGUGAUGGGCGUGUUGGGUAACCUUGAAUAAAGUGAUCAUUUAAAAA